UUCACAAAUUGACUCUCACCAAAUUGCCAUACGAAUGAGCCACACAAAAUACAUUAACCCUAAUGUCCUUUUUAUAGUGCAUAGGACUUAGGUUACAAUAAGAAUCCUAAUAGGAAGUAAAUCCAAAUCCUAAUCAAAUAGGUAAUUAACAAAAUCUCUCCAUCAAGGAAAC